rnacentral:tRNA from 1 species
GGGGCACUAGCUCAAUGGAUAGAGUACCAGACUUCGAAUCUGUUGGUUCUGGGUUCGAAUCCCAGGUGCCUCGCCA